AAACCAACAGGGAUUACCUCAGUAACGGCGAGUGAAGCGGUAACAGCUCAAAUUUGAAAUCUGGCUCUUUCAGGGUCCGAGUUGUAAUUUGUAGAAGAUGCUUUGGGUGUGGCCCUGGUCUAAGUUCCUUGGAACAGGACGUCAUAGAGGGUGAGAAUCCCGUAUGUGACUAGGUGCUUUCGCCCGUGUAAAGCUCUUUCGACGAGUCGAGUUGUUUGGGAAUGCAGCUCAAAAUGGGUGGUAAAUUUCAUCUAAAGCUAAAUAUUGGCCAGAGACCGAUAGCGCACAAGUAGAGUGAUCGAAAGAUGAAAAGCACUUUGGAAAGAGAGUUAAACAGUACGUGAAAUUGUUGAAAGGGAAGCGCUUGCAACCAGACUUAGUUGCGGCCGAUCAUCUAGGGUUCUCCCUGGUGCACUCGGUCGUAUCUAGGCCAGCAUCGGUUUGGGUGGUGGGAUAAAGGCCUUGGGAAUGUAGCUUCUUUCGGGGAGUGUUAUAGCCCUCGGUGCAAUGCCGCCUACCUGGACCGAGGACCGCGCUUCGGCUAGGAUGCUGGCGUAAUGGUUGUAAGCGAC
rnacentral:rRNA from 1 species